CAUCGGUGACAGGUGGUGCAUGGUUGUCGUCAGCUCGUGUCGUGAGAUGUUGGGUUAAGUCCCGCAACGAGCGCAACCCCUAUUGUUAGUUGCCAUCAUUCAGUUGGGCACUCUAGCGAGACUGCCGGUAAUAAACCGGAGGAAGGUGGGGAUGACGUCAAAUCAUCAUGCCCCUUAUGACCUGGGCUACACACGUGCUACAAUGGUUGGUACAACGAGUUGCGAGUCGGUGACGGCGAGCUAAUCUCUUAAAGCCAAUCUCAGUUCGGAUUGUAGGCUGCAACUCGCCUACAUGAAGUCGGAAUCGCUAGUAAUCGCGGAUCAGCACGCCGCGGUGGAUACGUUCCCGGGCCUU
rnacentral:rRNA from 1 species